UCUGUCGGAUGCGCUCGGGUUCUUGCAUUGUCUUUCGAGACGGUGUUGCGACCGUGCGCUCCCGGGCAAACCCAACGAACCCCGGCGCGAACUGCGCCAAGGAAAUAUAAAAGAAGGAGCACGCCCCCGGCACAUUCGUGUCGGAUGAGGGUGUGUCAUCUUUGAUGUCUUUAACGACUCUCGGCAACGGAUAUCUCGGCUCUCGCAUCGAUGAAGAACGUAGCGAAAUGCGAUACUUGGUGUGAAUUGCAGAAUCCCGUGAACCAUCGAGUCUUUGAACGCAAGUUGCGCCUGAAGCCAUUCGGCCGAAGGCACGUCUGCCUGGGCGUCACGUACCCAAUCGCUCCCCAAAACCUCCCACAUUUUUACGGAUUUGUGGAGGGCUAGGAGGGCGGAGAUUGGCCUCCCGUGCUGUAACGGCGCGGCUGGCCUAAAAGCAAAGCGUCGAGCGACGAAACGUCACGACAAGUGGUGGUAGAUAAAGCCCUAGCGGCAGCCUCAUCGUGUCGUGUGCGUCCAGUCGCGUUCGAUCGCCCAACGACCCCUACACGUCUCGACGAAUUCUGUCGCGA
rnacentral:rRNA from 1 species